CCUGAGACCUGGAAUGAGAAGACGUGGAUCAGAGCCGUGAUGACCAGCAGCUGGUAACAUGUGUUGCUUGUUCAGGAGACCCUUGAAACAUCUGCUCCAGCAAAAUAAACGGAGUAAAACAAGAAACAGAGAGAGUUCUAAGCUCCAGGAAUCAGAGAAGCAAAGAAGAUUGUGUUGAUGACAAGAACGUCCCACGGCUACAGCUGUUCCAGAGAGCAGCAGAACUGCUUGGCACAAGAGGACGGAGGGCUCCAAGGGGUACGCCUUCAAGAAGAAAGCUACACAGUUAGAAUAUUUAAUGUUUGAACUAAUUCAAAGGAGAGUUUCAGUUAUGUUAGAGAGUUGGGUAGUAAAUUAUUAACUGAUGUAGAAAACUAAGCAAACAUAAAAUGUCAUUUAUAAUUCCAGUUGAUAUAAUAAAUUUUAAAUAAAGGAAAGGUAGUACUUGUGGCUCAACUGUGAAUAAUAGUUGUGUAGCCACAGUAAGAUAAACUGCUUAUAUUUAUUUAAACCCAAACCACAAUAUAAGUAUACUGAGUGAAAUGAAGAGUGGGACACACCAAAAGCGGAUAUAAUGUCUUAGUUCAUUCGUGUUGCUAUAAAGGAAUACUUGAGGGUGGGUAAUUUAUUAAGACAAGAGGUUUAUUUGGCUCAUGGUUCUCCAGGCUGUACAAGCAGCAUGGAACCAGCAUCUGCUUGGCUUCUGGUGAGGUCUCAGGAAGCUUCUACUGGUGGUGGAAAGAGGAGGGGGGCUGUGUAUGCAGAGAUCACAUGAAGAGAGAAGAAGUAAGAUAGAAAGUGGGGAGGUCCCACGCUCUUUUUAGCAAUCAUCUCUUGCAGGAACUAAAAGAGUGAGAACUUACUCAUUGUCAAGAAGACAGUACCAAGCCAUUCAUGAGGGAUCCAUUCCCACAACCCAAACACCUUCAAACAGACCCCACCUCCAACAUUGGGGAUUAAAUUUCAACAUGAAGUUUGUGGGACAAACAUCCAAAGUAUAGCAAUAUCCUGUUUCACAGACAGCAAUAGGUGAUAUCUAAAACUAAAGGAUCAAGAAAUAGGAGAUAGGCGUGUGUCAUAUAGAUUGCAUAUGGUAAGUAGCAAAAGAGACAGAAAAAGAGUUUAAAGUAUCUGAUGUAUUAGUUGGAAAAACAAAGAACAAAACUACAGCACAACAAUGUGAAGUUUCAGAAUUCAGGGAACAAAAAGAAAUUCCUAAAAGCUUCCAGACAGAUUAAAAAAUAGUAGAUGACAAAUCUCCUACAAAGGGGAUUGGGUGUGGGGAAGAAUGGGAUGAAGAGCCUUUUAAAUGUAAGCCUGUAGUAGUACCUAAUUUUAAAAAUUAUGUUCUUUUGUUACUUGAUAACAAAUAAAUCUUCAAUUUAAAGGCGGAAAAAAAAAA